rnacentral:rRNA from 1 species
UACGUAGGGGGCAAGCGUUAUCCGGAAUUAUUGGGCGUAAAGAGCUCGUAGGCGGUUUGUCGCGUCUGCUGUGAAAACUGGAGGCUCAACCUCCAGCCUGCAGUGGGUACGGGCAGACUAGAGUGCGGUAGGGGAGAUUGGAAUUCCUGGUGUAGCAGUGAAAUGCGUAGAUAUCAGGAGGAACACCGAUGGCGAAGGCAGGCCUCUGGGCUGACACUGACGCUCAUGCACGAAAGCGUGGGGAGCAAACAGG